CUAACACAUUCUCCUGCUGGGAGAAUUAAAGAAAGAAAACUCCAUCCUCACCAAGAAGAUGAUCAGAGGCGGCGCCGAUGCGGGCUUCAUCUUUACGCUCUUCCAGAGGUGAGCAACGAGGACACUAGGCGAAAAUUCGGACGCCACAAAACCUCGCAGUGUUAUAAUCCAGUUUGCCCUUCGAGCAGCAACGCUCUGCUUAAAGACAGAAAGAUCAGUUUCAGCGAAGACCUGACCUCCAACAGACGAGUACCUCCAACAGCUGUAAGACCUCCUCCAUCGUGAUCUGCAGGACACAGGCACUGUGUUUACCAGCAGCACUAAGAGGUGCUGAAUACAUAACAUCAUAUAUGUUUAUAUCAUAUAUAGUUUUCUUUCCAUAUGUUUACUCUUUUUUGCAAUUAAGAACUUGCUUGCAUACUCCUGGUUAUAUUUUGAGUCCCCAUCAGAGCACAACGAUAAUAAUAUCGCUAAUGUUUAUGAAAUUUAAGGAUAUCAAACAUUGCUUGGCUGGAUUUUUUAUGAUGCAAUAUUAUAUUUUAUUUUUGUUUGGUA